rnacentral:rRNA from 1 species
GACGAACGCUGGCGGCGUGCCUAAUACAUGCAAGUCGAACGAGAGCGACCGGUGCUUGCACUGGUCAAUCUAGUGGCGAACGGGUGAGUAACACGUGGGUAACCUGCCCAUCAGAGGGGGAUAACAUCCGGAAACGGAUGCUAAAACCGCAUAGGUCUUCGAACCGCAUGGUUUGAAGAGGAAAAGAGGCGCAAGCUUCUGCUGAUGGAUGGACCCGCGGUGCAUUAGCUAGUUGGUGAGGUGACGGCUCACCAAGGCCGUGAUGCAUAGCCGACCUGAGAGGGUGAUCGGCCACAUUGGGACUGAGACACGGCCCAAACUCCUACGGGAGGCAGCAGUAGGGAAUCUUCCGCAAUGGACGCAAGUCUGACGGAGCAACGCCGCGUGAGUGAAGAAGGUUUUCGGAUCGUAAAACUCUGUUGUUAGAGAAGAACAAGUGCUAGAGUAACUGUUAGCGCCUUGACGGUAUCUAACCAGAAAGCCACGGCUAACUACGUG